ACGAAGGGGGCUAGCGUUGCUCGGAAUCACUGGGCGUAAAGCGCACGUAGGCGGUCUUUUAAGUCAGGGGUGAAAUCCUGGAGCUCAACUCCAGAACUGCCUUUGAUACUGAGAGACUUGAGUCCGGGAGAGGUAAGUGGAAUUCCGAGUGUAGAGGUGAAAUUCGUAGAUAUUCGGAAGAACACCAGUGGCGAAGGCGACUUACUGGACACAUAUUGACGCUGAGGUGCGAAAGCGUGGGGAGCAAACAGGA
rnacentral:rRNA from 1 species